ensembl:snRNA Gm26055 predicted gene, 26055
GUGCUCGCUUCGGUAGCAUAUAUACUAAAAUUGGAAUGAUACAGAGAAAGUUAGCAUGGCCCCUGCGCAAGGAUGACAUGCAAAUUUGUGAAGCAUUCCAUACUUUU